CCGGGCACGGUCUUCGGCCGGGCCGGCGGGGCGCGGGGAGUGUCAGGACGGCCCGGCUCGCGCGCGCUGUCCCCCCCGCGUCUCCCGGGGGCCGGCGCGGCACCCUCCCCCUGGCCCCGGUCAGGGUUCUCCCCGUCGGAGGGGAACGGGCGACCUGCUGGCGCGGGGGCGACACACGAGAAAGCGCCUUCACGGUCUUCUUGCCGAAUCCGACCCGCUCGCUCGGGACCUCGCACCGAUUUCACGGGGAGCCGGCAGCAAGCAAGGGAAGAAUUGACAUUCACUGGGGAACUUACUUUGUGCCAGAUGCUGUGACUGACAUGCUCCAGAUGUGAUCUCAUUUCAUCCUGACACCUCCGAGAGAAAGAGGUUAUCCUCCCCCAUCUUAUAGUUGAAACAGUUUAGUGAUGGAAUCUUAGCUCAAAGUCACAUGGAUAGAGAGUGCCAGAGCAGCCCAGAAGACACCAGGCCUUCUCUUCCAGUUCUCACAUGACGUCCUCAGUGAGAACAGGGGUCAGACUGACCAGGCACUAGCCGGAGAUGAACACAGCUGUCCUCUCGUAACUCUCCAGCUUUAUGGAAAAUCCUGGUGAUUUAUUCAUGAUUAAAACGUGAAUAAAUAAAAACCCACUAAAACAGAUUUAUCUUUUCAUUCACAGUCUAUUUCUUGUCAAAGUUUUCUGUUGGACUUGUAAAUCGAAGUAAGAAAUCUUUUUAGUAAACGUUACUAACUAGGUCUUAAGCUUGAGAUAUUUCUGGAGAUAAUGUAUCACUAAUAUUUGUUUGCCUGUGGAGAAGGAGCAAAGCCUGACAGAACAUCACAGUUCCCAUUUUCAAAGACCAAGAAGUAAAGUCUAGCUUCUUCCAGAAAAUAGGCUGAGAUUUGCGAAGAAAGAAAAGUAAGGUUUUGCUUCAAAACUACAUACUCCUCUCACGCAUUCUUGGUGACUGUUGCUUCAAGUUGCUAAAAUAUUUCUUCUUUGGGAAAAAAGUACAGCUCCCGAGAAAAUCAGGAGUCUGGCUUUGAGGACAGAUGGCCCUGCAUCUGAACCCCUUCUCCACUAGUUGCGUGUCCGUAGGCAAAUCAUCUCACUUCUGCUCGCCCAGGCUCCUCGUCCAGAAAACUAAGGGAAACUUCACAACAGCCCUGGAAGACGGCCGGCCGUGAAGGAUGAUGGUGGAGUGGGGAGCACAGAGCCCAGUCCCUAGACGUGCCUGUAACGGUAGCUGUUAGCCCUCCAUGGGCAACUCUCAACAGACGCCCACUCAAGCCUUCAGCACCCUUAAAUGUAAUAAAUUAAAAUUUUGAUUUUUUAAAGAACAUUUGGAAAAUACAGAAAAGUGUGAAUAAAAAGUCUCCCACCUGAUCGGUGGUUAUCGGGGAAAAGGGGGGGUGGGGGGAGGGCACAGAGGGGGAAGAGGUGUACCCACAACAUGACUAACAAAAAUGUACAACUGAAAUCUCACAAGGUUGUAAUCUAUCAUAACAUUAAUAAAAAAAAAAGUCUCCCACCAGGAUUAUUUUAUUCAACCUCCCCAAACAAAAGAGAAGUGGUGUGGACUGUAGACAAUUUUUCUCCCAACAACUUUGAAACAGUGACCUCUGCUGGCCAGUGGGACGCAAGCGCUUUCCAACCAACUCGCACGAUUGAGCAAGGGCUGAGUCAGCCAGGCUUGGUCCCUGUGCCUGGAACAAAAAUCAGGUGUUGCAUUACAAGAGACAGAAAUCGUCACAAGGGUUACCACGAUGUAAUUGGGAUGUUAACAAAACUAAAGGCUGGCCUUUCCAUUUGCUCAUCCGCCCAGAAGAUUCUUUUUUUCAAACCCCAUGGUGUCCUAUUUUUAAAAUGUCAUAAUUGCAUGCAAAUGUUACAGCUGAAAAACAACGCAAGGGGCAUUAAAAAUCAAUCUUCCAUGUAAGCCUCAGAUUUUCCAGCAUGAAGAUCCAAAAGCAGAAGUGGUGACAAAUGUGUGGAAAACAGAGUGAAAAAGUCAGGAUGCAUCAUUAAGAAUAUUACAACAAAAGGAGGAAAAAAAUCUUUGGGAACACAUGUCUGAUUCAGCUGGGGUAAACAGCCAGCUAGAAAGAAGGCUUUACACAGCCCUGCAAACCUCUUACAGAUAUGACCCAGAAAUCCUGUCAGGGAGCACUCACAGCUCUUUUCUUCAGGCAGAAAUAUGCUCGAGGGAAGAGGCUGCUCGAGUCUAUUGGCUGGCUAUUUAGACACAAAACACAUUCCCACCUCUUAAGGUGUGAAAUAAAACAGAGGUUACAAACUAGCAGCCAUAGGGUGGUGUAGUUUGCUUUGGCACUCACUGUAUUUUGCUUUUAAUUAAUUAGUUUCCAACACUUUAAAAAUGGAAAUUUCACAUCAAAAUCUGAAUUUCUGCCUUCUUAUAAGCAAAUGGGGAGAUCUAGACAUGCCAGGCAAGCAUUCUCCCACAGCACCAUCAGCAGAGGGCCACACAGCAGCAGCAGCCAUCCCUUUAGUUGGGGUGUGUGCUCGCCAGUUUGCUGUGUUCCCAUGUUGCUGGCCUCACACAUCACAUCACCUGCCUGGCUUUUGUAACACUAAGUCUGAGACCCUGAGUUUCUAAAAACCCUAAGGCACUGAUGAUAAACUGAAUUCAGUUCAAACAAAUACCAAUAGUGUGAAACCUACUUUUUGGUUUUUUUUUU